GAUGAACGCUGGCGGCGUGCUUAACACAUGCAAGUCGAACGGAAAGGCCCAAGCUUUCUUGGGUACUCGAUUGGCGAACGGGUGAGUAACACGUGGGUGAUCUGCCCUGCACUUCGGGAUAAGCCUGGGAAACUGGGUCUAAUACUGGAUAGGACAUCUUCUAGGGUGUUGUGGUGGAAAGUUUUGUGGGUGUGGGAUGAGCUCGCGGGCUAUCGGCUUGUCGGUGGGGUAAUGGCCUACCAAGGCGUCGACGGGUAGCCGGUCAGAGGCGGUGUACGGCCGCACUGGGACCGAGGGAAGGCCCAGGCACCGACGGGACGGAGCAGUGCGGAAGAUUGAACAAUGGGCGCAAGCCUGAUGCAGAGGCGCCGCGUAGGGGAUGACUGUCUUAGGGGUGUAAACUCCUUUCGCUAGGGACGAAGCGUUUUGUGACGGUACCUGGUGAAGAAGCACCGGCUAACUACGUG
rnacentral:rRNA from 1 species